UACAGAGGUCUCAAGCGUUGUUCGGAUUCAUUGGGCGUAAAGGGUGCGUAGGCGGCGCGGUAAGUCGGGUGUGAAAUCUCGGAGCUUACUCCGAAACUGCAUCGUAUACUGCCGUGCUUGAGGACUGGAGAGGAGACUGGAAUUUACGGUGUAGCGGUGAAAUGCGUAGAUAUCGUAAGGAAGACCAGUGGCGAAGGCGGGUCUCUGGA
rnacentral:rRNA from 1 species